rnacentral:rRNA from 1 species
AGAGGAAGCCCCGGCUAACUACGUGCCAGCAGCCGCGGUAAUACGAAGGGGGCAAGCGUUAUCGGAUUACUGGGCGUAAAGGGGGCGCAGGCGGUUUGUUACGUCUGGGGUGAAAGCCCGGGCUCAACCUGGGAAUGGCUUGGAAACGGGAGGUUGGAGAGUGGAAAGGGAGGGGAAUUCCCGGGGUACGGUGAAAUGCGUAGAGAUGGGGAGGAUACCGUGGGAAGGCGCCUUGCUGGCCGUUAUUGGCGCUGAGCCGAA